CUCACCUCUCCUGACUGAAGGAAGAGGCCUCCCCUUACUGGUCCAGCCUCACUCUUCCUCCACACGGGGAGAGAGAGCUGAGGCCACAGCAACAGGAGAGUUUGCUGAUGGGAGAUUUUGGAAGGGGAAGAGAAGGAAUCCAAGGGAAACCGUGAAGAAGCCUGAGAAGAACUGGCAGAGAGGCAGGAGGACCAGGAGAGAGCACAGAUCAGAUGAAACCCAGGAAGGAGCCCAGCGACAAGAGGCCCAGCCUGGAUCCUGCUGACAGGAAGUGAGAAAAGAAGAGGGCAUUGGGGCCAUCAGAGCUGCGGGUAAAAGGUAGGAGGCACUGCCUGGCCCUUGCUGUGCUGAACCCUCACUGCAGAUUCCCCAAGACCCUCAUUCCACCCCUCA
rnacentral:lncRNA from 1 species